CCAGACAUCCUCACCACCAUCGUCUCAGACUCUCAGCAUUCAAAGACCCCUUUGAAUUUUCUUCUUCCAAAUUCUGUUCUUGUAAUUUUGUUACAAUCCAACCAUGACUUCCUCUAGCAAUUCUAAGAGACCCUCUUCAUCUUCUUCUUCUUCUUCCAAUUCUAAAUGCUAAUUAAUAAUUGAGAGUGCAAUUAAUAAUUGAGGCAGGACUUUGACUCUCGUGAACCCCCCCACUCUCACUCAAUGCUAAUUGCUAAAGGGUUACGGGCUUACAGCCGAUCAAAGAUAAUUGAGACAGAAGAACCAGACAUCGUCUCACACUUUGUUUUUUCUUCUUCCAAAUUUUGUUACAGUCCAACCAUGGCUUCCACUAGCAAUCCCAAGAGACCCUCUUCUUCUUCUUCUAAUUCUAAAUGGAGGUACGAUGUGUUCUUGAGUUUCAGAGGCAAGGAUACCCGCAACAACUUUACUAGUCAUCUCUACAAGGCUUUGGAUCAUGCCAACAUUGAAACCUUUAUAGAUGAUGAAGGACUUCCAAGGGGAGAAGAGAUUGCGCCCGAGCUCCUAAAAGCUAUUGAAGGAUCAAGGAUUGCCCUUAUUGUCUUCUCGAAAACCUAUGCUGAUUCCAAGUGGUGCUUGGAUGAACUCGUCAAGAUCAUGGAGUGCGAGAAAGAAAAGGGACAACAGGUUUUUCCUAUUUUCUAUCAUGUAGAGCCGUCUGAAGUCAGGAACCAGACUGGGAUUUAUGGAGAAGCAUUUAACAAUCACGAAAGAAAUGCAGACGAGGAGAAGAAGAAGAAGAAGAUAGAGCAGUGGCGGACUGCCUUAAGGAAAGCUGGUAAUUUGAGUGGAUUUCCUCUGCAGGAUAGGUAAUCCCUACUUCACUUUUUCCAUUCCCAAUUUUCUGUCAGUUUAUUUUCAUUCUUGUUAAUAAAUAAAAUAUUUAUGAUUACAUUUAUCAAUCAAAAUCCAUUUUUAAGUAGUAGACAUUAAUAUGUUCGAUUUCUUGGAAAGUAAUAAGAAAGAGUAAAAAAAAAUAAUAAUAAUAAUAAUAAAUGAUUUUCUCACAUUUAAUUUAUUAUUAAAAUUAUAAAAGGAAAUCAAAUAUAAUUAAAAUAUAUCAGAAAAAAUUAUAUUUGCCCAGCAGAUGGAAAUGCCAAGUUUUGAAUUGUUAAAAAUCUUUAAGAUUCCAAAAUAUUCUUCCUUUCUAAUCGAUCCAUCUCAGCCAUAAUUUCUAUCAAUUAAAAAAAAAUGGUAGUCUGUCAAAUAAAUUGUUAAAAUUGGUUAUUUAUAUGCCUUGUAAAUUUGGAGAUAAUCUGAGAUGAUUAUUUAAAAUAUUGUAAUACUACCCUAAAUUUUGUUGGACCUCUUAUGAGACAAAAAACUUAGUUAUUGCACCCUUAACCUUUUUCAAUUUUAGAGGAAUUUUCUAUUACUUAAAUAAUUUUCUCAUGUUCUCUAUGCACUACAUGAGUUUACAUUUCUUCUUUACUUAAUAUUGUUUGUUCCUCUAUAUUUGCAAGUUGAUUAUUAAAUUUAUUUACCUUUUAAUCUAAUGUUUGUAUCUCGUUUUAUUCUAAUUAUCCCAUGACUCUUCUUAAGACCUUGUCUUUCACGUUGAAUCAUCUAAUGCUAAACUUAUUCCCUUGCUAUUCUACUUUGUGUACUCAUGGGAUUAAUAUAUUGAAAUUGAAAUUGUUUUUUUUUUCUCUCUCUUUUUCUCUUGUAUGUUCUACAUUCUUCUAUGCCUCAAUUACAAAUAAAAGCAAGCAACCUUAGAGCUUGUUUGACUUGAAACUAAUGUUCAAAAAAUAGUUUUCCCCAACCCAAUGUUGAAAAUAAUGAACAAAAUUUUAUUUGAAAAUUCAAAUAUGAAAAAAGUCUUUCUCAACUUAUGAACUAUGAAGGUAUUAUAAAUUUAUGUACAAUAUAACUUUUUCUAAGUAUUAUCUAUAUUUUCAUUUCUUUAUCACAAUACUCUAUAAGAAAAUACUUAUAAUCAUCUCAAAUAUGCUCUUAAAAAUGAACUUGUUUACCGAAAAAAAUUUUGAAAAAAAUUUUUAGUAAAAAAAAAUAAAAUAUAUAUUUAAGUUAUUAAACUAUUUUAUAUUCUAGAGAAAAAAAAAUCCAUUUUCAAAAACAAUAUCAAUACAUGCAUUUUUCUUUUAAGUAUCAUUUAAAAAUCUUUUUCCACAAGUCUAAUUGUUGCUAGGCUUUUGACCAACAAACAAACACGUGUCACUUUCCUUGUCAUUCUAAUUUAUAUUUGGAAAAAAAAUGGGGAUUUCAUCAAAAUAUGAAACUUACGUAGCAAUUAUUAACAACCUAAAUAUAAAUAGAAGUACAACUAAAAUGUACUUGUUUACAAAAUAAAUAGUUGAAAGUCUUAUAAGUAUAGAGGAUGGUCAUAAGUCAUGCUAUAAUUAAUAAAAGCAUUGCUAGGUUACAGAACUUGGGUGACAAAUUGGUAGAUUUCUAGCCAAACUAGUAUUGGUCUCUAUAAUAAAAUCUCUUAUCAUAAAAGAUAACGAUACAUUAGAAAGGUCAACUUCAAUUUGGACCUUUAGAAGCAAUUGAGGUAUUUACAUUGUUUUAUUGCACAUAUACUUGACUUAAAACAAUGAAAUUUUAUUCAAACAUGCGACUCAAUACAUUUUUAAUUUACAUUCUAUUUGACCUUAAUUUAGUUGCAUUGAAUGGAGCUAAACACCAUUCUAUAAUUUCCAUUUACUUCAUCUUAGUUUUCUUUGGCAAUUGAUUCUAACUCACUGCAUGUUUUAUUGUACUUUAUAAUGGACAGAUCUGAGGCAGAGUUUAUUGAAGAUAUCAUUGGUGAGAUUAGAAGAUUGAUUCCUAAGUUGGUAGAUGUUGGUAAGAACAUGGUUGGAAUGGAUGGAAAUUUGAAACAAGUGAAGUCAUUGAUAGAUGCCCAAUCAAAUGAAGUGAGCAUGGUUGGGAUUUAUGGGAUUGGUGGGAUUGGUAAAACUACCAUCGCCAAGGUUGUUUACAAUGAUAUGUUAUAUAAAUUUAAACGUCACAGCUUUCUUGAAAAUGUGAGAGAGAAAUCUAAAGGUGGUCGUGGUUUACUUGAAUUACAAGAAAAACUUCUUUGUGAUAUCCUAAUGGAGAAAAAUCUGGAGUUAAGGAAUAUUGAUAAAGGAAUUGAAAAGAUAAAGAGUGAGUGUUGCUUUGAAAAGGUUCUUAUUGUUCUUGAUGAUGUAGAUUGCCCAAGACAAUUAGAAUUCUUAGCUCCUAAUUCUGACUGUUUUCAUCGAGGAAGCAUAAUCAUUGUGACCACGAGAAAUAAACGUUGCCUAAAUGUAUAUGAGUCGUAUUCAUCAUAUGAGGCUAAGGGAUUAGCACGUGAGCAAGCUAAGGAACUCUUUUGUUGGAAUGCCUUUCGAAAACACCAUCCAAAAGACAAUUAUGUGGACCUCUCUAAUCGUAUACUGGAUUAUGCUAAAGGCCUUCCAUUGGCUCUUGUAGUUUUGGGUUCUUUUCUCUUUCAAAGGGAUGUGGAUGAAUGGGAAAGCACAUUGGAUAAACUCAAAACAAACCCUCUCGAAGAUAUUCAAAAGGUACUCCAGAUAAGUUAUGAUGGACUAGAUGAUAAAUGCAAAAAGUUGUUUCUUGAUAUUGCAUGCUUCUUCAAAUAUAAGGAUGAAAAAUUUGUUACAAGAAUACUAGAAGGUUGCAAAUUCCAUCCCAAGAUUGGACUAAGAGUUCUUGAUGAGAGAUGUCUUAUCUCUAUAACGUACGGCACUAUAAGGAUGCAUGACUUGUUACAAGAAAUGGGUUGGGCAAUUGUUCGCCAAAUUGAUCCAGAAUGUCCUGGAAAAUGGAGCAGAUUGUGGGAAUUACAAGAUAUUGAAAGUGUAUUUACCCGAAAUAAGGUAAGAGAAAAAUACAUGAAUAUACUUGAGACCUAAAGACAUAAAAGAUUCAACAAGAUUUAUUUUUAUUAUUAUUAUAGUCUGAGUACCUUAUCUAUAUAAUUUUAUCGAAUCCCUAUGCAUCUUAUACUACUUUUUCUCAAUGCUUGUUUUCAGGGGACAAAAAACAUUGAGGGGAUAUUCAUAAAUCGGUCUUGGGAUACAAAAAAACGUAUACAACUUACUGCUGAAGCUUUCAGAAAGAUGAAUCGACUUAGAUUGCUCAUAGUUAAAGGCAAUAUGGUGCAGCUUUCCCAAGACUUUGAAUUGCCUUGUCAUGAUUUAGUAUAUUUUCAUUGGGAUAACUACCCUUUGGAAUAUUUGCCAUCAAAUUUUCAUGUAGAAAAUCUUGUUGAACUUAACCUCUGGUACAGCAACAUAGAACAUCUUUGGGAAGGAAACAUGGUAUUGCUAUUAUUUAGUUAUAUUUUUGCUCUAGACUAAUUUUAAAGUCUUUUGAAGUUUACUUAUUGAAACGAAUUUUCUUCUGUUACAGACUGCUAGAAAGUUAAAGGUCAUUAAUCUCAGUUAUUCCAUGCAUCUGGUUGGUAUUUCAAGCAUCUCAAGUGCACCAAAUUUGGAGAUUCUAAUUCUAAAAGGUUGUACAAGGUUACUUACUUGUUUCACCCAUGCUUAAUGUUAUUAUUAGUCAUGAGCUAACUGUUUUCUUGAAUAUAAUAGGAUGCAAGAGACUUGAGAGUCUUCCAAGGAACUUUCAUAAGCUGGAAUGCCUUCAAACACUCUCUUGUGAUGGCUGUUCAAACUUAAAAAGUUUUCCGAAGAUCGAGGAAGAAAUGAGAAGUCUAAGAAAGCUUCAUUUAAGUCAUACAGGUAUAAUGGAAUUACCAUCAUCAAUUAGCAAUCUAAAUGGGCUUGAAAAGUUGGACUUAGGUUAUUGCAAAAACCUUUUGAGUCUUCCGGACAGUAUUUUUAGUUUGAGUUCUCUUCAAACUCUGAAUCUAUUUGAGUGUUCAAAACUAGUGGGCUUUCCGGGUAUCAAUAUUGGAAGUCUAAAAGCUCUUGAAUAUUUGGAUUUGUCAUAUUGUGAGAACAUUGAGAGUCUUCCGAACAAUAUUGGUAGUUUUAGCUCUCUUCAUACUCUUUCAUUGAUGGGGUGUUCAAAACUGAAGGGCUUUCCAGAUAUCAAUAUUGGUAGUUUUAGCUCUCUUCAUACUCUUUCAUUGAUGGGGUGUUCAAAACUGAAGGGCUUUCCAGAUAUCAAUAUUGGAAGUCUAAAAGCUCUUCAAUUGUUAGAUUUCUCACGUUGCAGAAACCUUGAGAGUCUUCCGAACAAUAUUGGUAGUUUGAGCUCUCUUCAUACUCUUUUAUUGGUAGGGUGUUCAAAAUUGAAGGGCUUUCCAGAUAUCAAUUUUGGAAGUCUAAAAGCUCUUCAAUUGUUAGAUUUCUCACGUUGCAGAAACCUUGAGAGUCUUCCCAUGAGCAUUUACAAUUUGAGCUCUCUCAAAACAUUGAGGAUUACAAAUUGUCCAAAACUCGAGGAAAUGUUAGAGAUUGAAUUAGGGGUUGAUUGGCCACUUCCACCUACAACCAGUCACAUUUCAAAUUCAGCAAUAAUCUGGUAUGAUGGCUGCUUUUCCUCAUUAGAAGCAUUAAAACAAAAGUGCCCCCUGUCAUCACUGGUAGAAUUAUCUGUAAGAAAGUUUUAUGGCAUGGAAAAAGACAUCCUCAGUGGCAGUUUCCACCUAUCCUCAUUGAAAAUAUUAUCUCUAGGGAACUUCCCUAGCAUGGCAGGAGGAAUCCUCGAUAAGAUUUUCCAUCUAUCUUCAUUGGUAAAAUUAUCUCUUACUAAAUGCAAGCCAACGGAAGAAGGAAUCCCCAGUGAUAUUCGGAACCUAUCUCCACUGCAACAAUUAUCUCUACAUGACUGCAAUCUAAUGGAAGGAAAGAUCCUCAAUCAUAUUUGCCAUCUAACAUCCUUGGAAGAAUUACAUCUGGGUUGGAACCAUUUUAGUAGCAUUCCUGCUGGCAUCAGUCGACUUUCCAAUCUAAAAGCCCUUGACUUGAGUCACUGCAAGAACCUUCAACAAAUUCCAGAGCUUCCAUCAAGUCUACGAUUUUUAGAUGCGCACUGUUCGGAUCGUAUUUCAUCAAGCCCCUCGCUUCUACCUAUUCAUUCUAUGGUCAAUUGCUUCAAAUCAGAAAUUGAGGUAUGAUUCUCAUGCCACGUUCCUUUUUCUUUCGUACCCAUUGGAUUUACAUGGUGCUUUUGUGCAGGACUGCGUGGUUAUUCAUCGUUAUUCUUCCUUCUGGGGCAAUGGAAUUGGUAUUGUUAUUCCUAGAAGUAGUGGAAUUCUAGAGUGGAUAACGUAUCGGAAUAUGGGAGGGCAUAAAGUAACAAUAGAGCUCCCUCCGAAUUGGUAUGAAAAUGAUGACUUGUGGGGAUUUGCUUUAUGCUGUGUUUAUGUUGCACCUGCCUGUGAAUCUGAGGAUGAAUCUCAGUAUGAAUCAGGUCUUAUAUCUGAGGAUGACAGUGACCUUGAAGAUGAAGAAGCAAGCUUUUAUUGUGAAUUGACAAUCGAAGGAAAUAAUCAAUCAGAAGACGUGGCUGGUUUCGUUCUUGAUUUUCGCUGUGUUAAGGAUGAUGUAUCAGAUAUGCAGUGGGUGAUAUGUUAUCCCAAGUUAGCUAUUGAGAAAAGUUAUCACACCAAUCAAUGGACACACUUCAAGGCUUCAUUUGGUGGGGCCCAAGUGGCAGAGUGCGGAAUCCGUCUGGUAUACACAAAAGAUUAUGAACAGAAACAUCCAACAAUGGCACAAGGCAGUACUUCUCAUGGGAAUUUUGGUGAGCAUGGAUCAGUAAGAGAAGAUGGCAGUACUUCUCAUGGGAAGUUUGGUGACCAUAGAUUAGUAAGAGAAGCUUUACUACUCUAAAGAUACUAAUAGUAAAGAUCACAAUAAAAGGAAUCCCACAGAACAGAGCCCAGGAGAGGAGUCACGUACACCAUAAAAGAUUCAGAGAAACCCAAGACUGAUCCCAAGCAUUAGGCUCAACCACACUUGCAUCAAUAAUGUUCUCUUCCUGGUAAUUCAUCUUCUUUUCUCUUUCAAAUUCAAAGGUCAGAAAUUUUUUUAUCAUGUUUCUCCUUUUUAUUUGUUUUUUCCCCAAGACAAACAAAAAUUUGUGGCUAUCAUCCAUGGGUGCAAACUUCAAUGGUACACCUCCCAAGUUUGUUUUUCUCUCUCUCCAACCGUCUCUCCCUAGAUUUUUCUGCAUUUUCUUCAAACUCAUAUUUCUAUAUGAAAUUCAAUUACAUUCGAGCAUUUCAAUCUCUGUAGCUAAUGUCUGAAUCAUUUCUAGGGUUUCUUUUUUCUGGAAGUUUGUAAUGUUAUUGAUUUAUGACUUGAUGUUUGGGGAUGUUUUGGGUGGCUUGUUCACUUUUUUAUAGCGAUGAUUUAUGGAACCAGAGUUUCUUAGCAGGAAAUGGAACUCGUGUGUUUUAGAAUAUUGGCGUUAUUUGCUUGUGCCCUGUUUGGUUGCUGAGAAAGAGUGGAAGGAGGAUGGAGAAUUAAAUAAUUUUCAAUCUAAGCAAUGAGAAAUUAGAUUUGGGUAUUUGGGCCAUUGGAGUUAUUUGCUCUUACUCAGUUUGGUUUCCAGGAAACUGCAGGCAAAGCAUGGAAAAUAAAGUAUUUUUAAAUUAAUUACCAGGAAAUGGAAUGUACGUAUUUGUCUCUUUGGAAUAUAAACAUCAGUAUUCACUCUUCAAGAAUGUAUAUGGUUGUUGUUUUGGAAUUUUGAAAUUACUUAGCAUCAGACAAUUUCUAACUUGGGAUUUGGAUUGGGAAUCAUAAGUAAUCAUUAGAGAGUAUAUGAGAAGGAGUUUUAGAGUAAGACAGGGUGAUGCAUGUUGAGGGAUGCGUCUCACCCUGGAGUUCUUUGGAAUAAUUAUAGGAUUUUGUAAGUAACUUUGGACUUAUUAGCAAUGUUCUGGAUUUGUGAAUAAUUUAUAGAAUACAUUGGGUGUUUUUUUUUUUUUUUUUUUUUGAGAGUGAAUAAUGUAUGACUGUACUCUUCUCUAUCUCUGUGGUAUGGCACACGUAUGAUUUGGUGCUUUUUUGCAGGCCUUCAACAGCAGCAAAGCAUCUGGUGGCUUGCAGUACUAAUCUUGCAUUAUAUUCUCUGUUUUGCAAUCAUUUGGUACUGUUUGUCCCAACCAAGGAUAGCUCUGUGCAAGCAGUCUCGACUGUGGAACAAGUAAAACAAAUGGUACCUGCUGAAGCUGAGAGGGCAGAUGAUAAGCUGGUGCGGAAGGUGGUCAACCAAAAGAAUCAGACAGCAAAAACUAAAAAGCCCAUCAAGCCUGCUACUGAAGCAGCCUCAGCACCUGUUUCUGGGAGGGGUGAGAUUGAAGUGACUGAAGAAAAGGAGCAUGAGCAAACAAAGAAGGAAGAGGAGUUGGCCAGGAAGGUAGAGGAAUUGAGAAGUGAAGAAGAAGCAGCCAUGUUGAAGGAGAGAAAGCCAACGUUAAGGAGGCACUGGAAAGGAAACAAGGAACUGCAGAAAAGGCCAAUUUCUCUGUGAGUGCUGCCACCUUUUCAUAAUAAUGGAUGUUAAAAGCAGUCUAACUCUACAUGGCGUUUAUUUUCCCCAGCCAUGGAUUGGAAUCUGCCAGUCUAACUCUCAUAAGAAACAAAAUUUUCCAUCCUCAUAUGGAUUAUUGGAGAAGAUUUUAACAUGGAGUUCACUAGAGAGUUUCUAACACCCACUCAAAAAGGACAUUUUAGAGAACUUAUUGAAAAGUUACAUCAGAGUACAUAAAUUUUUAGAUAUUUUUAAAAAUAUCUGAAAAAUUAAAUUAACUAAAAGUAUUUGAAAAAUAUUUGAUUGAAUUAAUAAAUAACUAGUAUUUGCAUAUGAAAAAAUAGUAAACAUAGUCAAUAAUUUUUUUUUUAAUAAUUAGCACAUAAUAAUCAUAAAUUAAUUUAUGGCAAGACCUCAUAUUUGUUGUGGUGACUGUGUUGUCUUACCAUUCUUCUUUCAUGAUGGGCUUAAAUUUUAAUUUAAAUGUAGUAUAAAUAUAUAAUUAGAUUGAUAUUUCGUCCACUAGAAUUGAUUGGGUCUGAAUUUGAACCCUGGUCUUGAAUUUCUUGGCCCAACCAACGAAAUCAUUGACCAACGGCCCUUAGUUUGGGCUGGGCUUGAUGGUCCUCAGGUUAUGCAGGCUUAAUACUGAUUGGGUUUGGGCUUCCAUGCAGUUGUACUUGGAUUCUAUGUUUCCUAAUAUUAACACUAAAAUUAGGUUUAAUUUAUUAACACUAAAUUAGGUUUCAUUUAUAAUUAAAUAUAAUUAGUUUGAGAAUAACUCCAAUCUUUAGUUAAACCAACUAAGUUUUAUGCAAAGGUUUAUAUUCCUAAUACCAUUGAAAAACUAAAUUUAUGUGGAAGUUUGACUGAUACCAACAUUAAAUUAUUAAGAUAAAUUGAAAAAAAAAAAAUCAUGCUCGUAUGUCCUGUUGUUUGUCAUAAGAAAAUUUCUUUUCAGAUUUUUUUUUUCUUUUAAUACAUCUUUACAUUUUUAAUAACAAUCCAUAGGAUUGUUCCCAAACAUAUAUCAUAUAAAUAUAUCUUUUUUGGAUUUUUAAGAAUGUUGUCAAACAAACUCAUAAUACCAUUCUUUCUUUACAAUUACCAAUCCAUAUGAUGAAUUUAUUCCUUUCAAUAACUGACAUCAUCUAAUAAAAAUUAUAAUUAGGUAUUAUAUUUAAAAAGUGUUUAAUAAAUCAAUUUAAUAACUUAAGUGAUUUAAUAACUUAAUUUAAAUUAUUAAAAUAAUUUGAUGUCACAAUUUAAAGUUAAAAUUGAUUUAAUUAAUUUUUAUUUAAAUUUAAAACUAUGUUUACAAAAAAGGCUUAAAAUUCAUAUCAAUUAAGAAAUUAAGUUAUUAAGUUACUUUAAGUCAUUAAAUUAAUCUACCAAUUAAACACCCUUUAAGAUAUGAUAUAAAGUUCACCUCCUACAUAUCAUGAAAAUUAAAAAUUAAUUACCACAUCAAGAAUCUUUAGUUCCUAAUCGAUUUAAUAUUUAAUCCUUGGUUGUGAAUUUCUUUAUAUAUGUAGAUAUAUUUUUAUAUUGCAAGUGGGCUGCCGACUUUUCAUUUUAUACUAGUUUUGAAAAUAAGAUUGUAGUUUUUAUUUUGUCCAAAUCUAAUUUGGAGGGAGAAUCUUUAGAGGCUAUUUUAUAUUCAAAUAGGAAAAUUUUAAAUUUAAUAGUCCCACCUUAUAAAGGCAAAUAUCUUGGACCCUACAUGGGUGCCUCUUACAUGCAUGCACGAGGACAAAGACUUAUUGAAAGCCUCUCUCAUUCACAUGGAUGCCAUCAUUCAUCGAAGUUGAAACAUGAAACCCACACAAAAUAUUUGGGCAAAAGCAACUUCAAUAUUUUUUUUCAUUACUAUAGCUGAGAAUCUCAAUAUUAUUAAAUAGUAAUAAAAUUAAUUUUAAUAUUUUUUUUCUUAUUUUUUCCUCCUUGUGGUUAUAUUUUCAUCCGGAAAGUAUUAAAUAUUAAAAAAGAAUAAAAUUUAAAAAUUAAUUUUUCAUAUUUAAUUAUAUUGUGAAAAAUAUAAAAUAAAAUAUAAUAUAAUUAAAAUUAGUUAAAAUUUUAUAUUUUUAUAAAAUUAUUUAACUUUUUUAUAAAAAUUUAAAAUAAGUGACAUGAGUUUGAAAUAGUAUACAUAUUGACUUUAAAUUUAAUUUUUAUAUUUUUCAUUUUUCUUUUUAACUAUUCUUCUUUCUUCUCUUUCUCUCAACUUUUCCUUCAAAUUUUCCAAUAACCAAACAUAACCUAUUUGUUUCAUAAAAACUCUUUUACCUUUUUAAAUUUUUAAAAGAGUUGCUUACAUAAUAUGGAGCUAAUAGUAUUACUUGUACCUAUUAAUUUCUUUUAAGAUUAAAUUGUUCUAACUUUGUGUGAUAAAAAGUUUGUAAAGUCCAAUUUUACGAAAGAAAAUAUAUGAUUAGUGACUCCCUUGCAUUUCCUUUGGGAUUCACCCCUUCAUACUUACCGUAAAUAGUUGUACCAAUUAAUCAAACAAAAAACAUAGCAUGUAAAUAGUAAUAUGUUAAAGUUUUCUAUCGUGCCUAAGUUUAAUUAGUUCUACUUAUUUAUAUAUUGAAAUGAAAGUAAGCAUAUAUUUAAGUGGUCCAUCAAAUUUGAAACUAAUCUAUUGUAAUUACAUUCAUGUCUAUAUCAUUUAUAUUGUACAUAACUUGAGUACAUUAAAAAUUGUACAAAAAAUCCAAAUUACAAGGAAGUUUAUAUAAACUCUCUUAGGAUUAGACACUGUUAGUCAUUGCCUUCUAAAAAGCUUUCAUCUCUUUCUCCCUCAAGAGGUUUGUAGUCACUUUACACAAGUGUCAAAACUCAAAAGAGUGAUCUAAUGAAGAUGACGAGGUGAUUGAGAUCCUUUUCAUAAACUGGAGUUUGAUAUGGGAACAUUCAUAUCGAAGGUAAAAAUUUUUAUCAGCAACUAGACUUACUUUUAUCUUUCCUUAUAAUUAAACCCAAUAAUCCUAGGUUGUUAGAGACCACACACCUAUGAUCCAAGGGUUUUCCCAACAAGGAUAUCAAUAAAUCUUUCUACUCUAUUGAUGGCAUCUUGAAUUCUUUCAAAUUAAUCACUUCAUUGUAAUCGUUAUUCACUAAAUCCCAUAAAUCUUGAGAUCUAAACAUGACAUUCAUAUGAAUGCAUCAAUUAUUAUAAUUCUUACUUAUGAAUUUUGAAAGUUGAGAUUCAAUUGAGUUAUUAUUUACCAUCAUUACUUUAACAACCAAAUUGCAAAUUUCUUUAUACUAUUCACAUUCUCUGGCAGCCUUUGACCUUCCCUAAUCUUUAGCCUCUAGCUAAUACCACUUGUUUGAGCUCCCAUAAUUGGGCAGCAUUGACAAUAAUUUACUAAAAUAACAUUUUAUUCUAUCCUACUCUCUCUUUGUCAACAUAAUAAUAAACCUCUAUUUAAAAUAAGUUGAUCAUAUUUGCAUUAUCACUCUAAUUCAUAAUUAGAUUGGGAAACCUAAUUAAUAUCAAAUAAAUAACCAUUCCUAAUAUUUCUCAAAUUUAUAAAAUUCUUCUAAUUUGACUUUAAAUUGAUUUUUUAUUUUGACUAUAUAGCUUAAAAAGGAUAAUUUUUUAAAUAAUUAUCAAUUUCAUAUAAUCUUUAUAAGCAUUUGUGUUCAUAAAUUCCUUAUUAUGAUAUUAGGUUUUAGACAAUUUGACAAUAUGAUGAUGUUUUGGAAUGAAUGUUAAGUGAAUCCGUUUUACUCAAAACCAUUAAAUAAAAAAAAAAGACAGUUACACAAGUAAAAUAGUAGAUUAUUGAAGGCCAGGAGAAAAGAAGAGGAAAAUGAAAUAUUAUAUCCCUAUAAUGAGUUAGGUGGAUAUUUCAUGUGAAAAGUUUAAUGUGCAAGGUUGUUCAUGUCUAUUGAGUUUUGGGUAAUCAUUUUUUCAUGGAAAUUUUUUAUGGAAUCCUAAUCUUAGAAAGCAAUAGGAAAUUUUUUUACCAAGAUUUCUAAGAAAUAACUACAUCAAAGUGUAAGAAAAGUAUCAAACUAGAAUAUCUAAGAAAUUACUACAUCAAAGUGUAAUAGAAACAUCAAAUUAGAAAGUGAAAUAUAAUACAAUUCAACUAUGAAAAUGAAGGACAAAGGAAUAGACUAAUUGCCAAAGGAAAAUAGUCUUUUAGUUUUAAUCAGAAAUUUCUUAUAUCAUAAUUAUGACCUGUAGAGGCCACAUGGGUUGUUGGCCUUGGAGUGACUAAAAGGUACAACUAAAAAACGUCAAACAUUUGGAGAACUAAAAGAAAACAUGGAUAAAAUUUUUUUACCUAGAACAUUUAUAUAGAAAUAUUUUAUUUUUUAUUUUUAAAAAAUUAGUAAAGGUAGUAAAGUUUUUUAAAGAUUAUUUUGCGCCCUAAAAACAAAUCGUAAAGGCUUGUUAAAGAUUAUUUUGGAUAUGUUUCAUGCAUUAAUUUUUUUUAACAUUUCAAAUUUUUAAAUGAUUUUUAAAAGUUAUUACCUUUUAAAAUGUAAAUCUCAUAGAGUAUUUGCAUUAUAUAGGAAUUACUAUCAUUUUUAUUUUUUUUAAAAAAGAGAAAUGUAUUCAAAUAAUACCUUAAUUUUUCAUUUUCUAGUAUAAGGAAAUGAUUAUAUCUCACACAAACCUUGUUCAGAUACAUAUUUCAAAGUGAGAAAAAAAAAAUUCUUUUAGAGAAAAGAAGUCCUUCAAAAAGAAGAAAAAAAAAGGUUUUUCAAAGAAGAGUUAGAAGGAAAAGUGAAUUCAAUCUUAUAAUCAGCUAACAUGAUGUUGUUUGAUUACAUUUUUUAUUUUCUAUUUUUACAAAUAAAAUAUAAUAAUAACUCCUAUAUGAAAUAUAGAACUCUUUCAAACUUACUUUAAAAACAUAAUAAUAUUUAAAAAUUAAGAUAAAUUGUGAUAUUAAAAAAAAAAUUACUUCUUCAAAUUUUAAAAAUUAUGAAAAUAAAUUUUUAAUGACAUAAGAUAAGUCUAUAAAUUUUACAUAAAAGUUAUUAUAUUUUAUAUAGAAACUAUUACUAUUUUCUAUUUGUAAAAAUACAAAAUAAAAAAUAUAUCCAAGCAAGUACUAUGAGAAAUAGUUUCUAACAUUUCUUAUUAAGAAAAUGAGAAUAUUAAGAAGUAUAUUCCUACUACAUUGUUUUUUUUUUUAAUUUGAUAUCAACCCAUUCUAUUAGCUCUUUUGAGAAAUAUAGAAAAAUAACAUUACAUAAUUGCAUAGAACAAGAAUAUUAUUUAAGUUUGAGGCAAGUGUUAAAAAGAUAUUGUAAUUCUGUUACGUUGUUUAACUUCAAUGUCCUAUAUGUAACUGUUAGGAAUUUGAGGCUAAUCCAAACUAUAGUAAUCACCCUAGAGGGAGGGGGGGGGGGGGGGUAAAUAGGGUGAUGAUCUCUUUUUCACAAAUCUAAACUAUGCAAAAAUAAGAGACAAUUAUAUGUAAAUAUAUAAUAAACACAAUUACAUAUAAUUUAAAAAAUUUGGGAAAAAAAAGUGCAAAACCGAAAACUUAUAAUGGGUCGACACUUCCUUGGCCACCUUCCCUCUCCUUAAACCCCUAAACGAAUGAGGGUUCCCCUAUUUUGAAGCUUCCACCAAGCUUCCAAACCCUUUACAAAUGGAUUAAGGUUUCCAAUCCCCCUUUUGNNNNNNNNNNNNNNNNNNNNNNNNNNNNNNNNNNNNNNNNNNNNNNNNNNNNNNNNNNNNNNNNNNNNNNNNNNNNNNNNNNNNNNNNNNNNNNNNNNNNAGAGAGUGCAAACACGAGAGCUUAUAGUGGUUCGACACUUCCUUGCCUACGUCCACUCUCCUCAACCUCCUAACCGAGUGAGGGUUCCACUAUCUUGAAGCUUCAACCAAGCUUCCAAUCUCUUUACAAUUGGAUUAUGGUUCCAAUUCACCCUUUUGGACUUUUGGCUCCAAGCACCCUUUACACUUCUCAAAAGUUAUCCCACUCUUGAACAACCUCUCAAGUGAUACCCCUCACUUGAGAAAAUUCCUCUCAAAGAUAUACAAAGAUUGAUCUCACAAAAAUUGUAGUAAUAGAACUUUAAGCUCAAAUGAUACAAGAGAAACUAGGAUUGAAUGGUGCACUAAAGAUAUGCAAGUUUUGGAAUAAUGGUGCACUCAAAAAUACUCUUCCAAGGCUCAAAUAUAAUCAAGAAAGAUUUGGGAAGGUUUAGCUUAUCAAACAACGAAGUUUGGAGCCUUUUUAUAGAAGAAAAAAGUCAUACUAGCCGUUGGGGGUUUGAUCGGUCGAGCUAAGGGUCGACUGGUUGACUAACCAUUAGGAAAAGUGACUGUUGAGCCUCAACCGGACCUCAACCGGUUGAGGUUCAACCUUGACCGGGAAGAGAAGGCCACUAGGAGAGAGAGAAAGUUUUUGGCCUCCCUCAACCGGUCCUCGACCGGACGAGCACAACCAAUCGACCAGUUGAACCGGUUGAGCCAUUUUUUUGGCUCAACACUCAACAUUUUUCAACUUAAAACCUUUUAACACAAAUUUGAAAAUCAUUUAACACAAGGUUUUAGUUGAAAACAUUAAAUCAUCCAAUUCUUAAGAUAUUUAAAACAAUAUUACUCUUGGAUAAUUUUGGUGCAUAAAUAAAUAAUGAAAUGCAUGAAAGUCCUAGUGCACCAACAACCUUACAAAGAGAUCCUAAGAAGCUUUGGUCUUGAAAAACUCUUCUCUUUGAGGUGGUCUUCUUUUUCAUGAUUUCUCCUUGACUUGAUUUGUCUUUGGAUUGCCACUUUGGAAGUCGUCUUGCCUAAUCACACUUGAAAUAUGAUCAUUAGUUCUAAACCUUGUUUUGUUAUCAUCAAAAUCAAGAUUAACCAAACCUUGGUUUCACAGUAACGACUUGUUCCCAACCAUAUAGAUAUUGUCCGCUUUGGACCCAAAUGGGCCCUCACGGUUUUUAAAACUCGUCUACUUGGUUAAGAGGAACUUCUACAUAUAUAGCGUCAGACUUUCCCCCCUAUCCGAUGUGGGAUGUCACAAACACCCCCCUCCCCCCCUCCAUGUAGACACAACGUCCUCGUUGUGUCCCAUGGGAUUGUAGGGUUAAAUAGACAAACACCCCUUAUGAGGUCAAACAAACCCCAACACCGGGGUCGGGGAUCGACUCUGAUACCAUUUAUCAGAAUCCGUACUCAAUUAUAUAUAUAUUGUCCGCUUUGGACCCAAAAGGGCCCUCACGACUUUAAAACGCGUAUACUUGGUUAAGAGGAGUCUCUACACAUAUAGCACCAAGAACUUUUCCCCCUAUCCAAUAUGGGAUGUCACACUAUAUAUGUGUAACAAUUUUUCUUUAAAAAAAUUAGAGGACUUAAAAUGGGCUCUUGUCAACCUUAUUGAUAUUUGAUGUCAAAGGGAUACAACCAACCACCACAAAUAAUUGAGAGAAAAGAAAGGAAAUAAUAAUAAGAGGUAGGCCCCGGGCUCUUGUGAACCUUAUUGAUAUUUGAUACCAAAGGGAUACAACCAACUCCCACAUUUAAUUAAGAGAAAAGAUUGGGAUAUCCUCACCACCAUGUCUAGAUUGCUUUAGUAGGACCAAGAGAAGUCAUUCAGCAUCCAAAGAUCCUCUUCUUCUUCUUCUUCUUUUAAUUCUAAAUGGAGGGACAAUGUGUUCUUGAGUUUCAAAGGUGAAAAUACUCACAAAAGCUUUACUAAUCAUUUCUACUGUAUAUCUUUACUUGUAAUAAAUGUAUAAGAUAUUUGUAUUAACUGUAUAAAACAUGUACAGACCUGUAUAUCUUGAAUUUAUUAAUAUGUUUUUCUUCAUUUUCUUUGUUUUCCAUACCAAAAUACUAAAAAAAUUAUUUACAUAAUUUUUUCUUUUCACAUUUUCAUAUGUAUACAAGACACUUAUACUAAAUGUACAAGAUAUUUUCAUAUUUUGACUAAUGCCUAUACAAAUAUGCAAAUAUAUUGACAAUAGGCAAACUCAUACUAGUCUUGUAUAGUUAUGACAAAUGUCUUAUACAUUUAGGGUGUGUAUACAAUGUUUUCUAAUUCUUUGUAUAGUUAAUACAAAUGUCAUAUAUAUUUUUGAAAAUGUAAAAAAAAAAAAAAGAAGUUAUAUUUGACAUUUACACAUUAUAUAUAAACAAUAUUUCAAUUUAAUAUGGAAAAUGAAAAAAAUGCAAAUAGAUAUAUGUGAAGGGUAAAAAGAGUAUUUUUGUUCGUAAAAUUUCAUGUACUUAAACAUGAAGUAUGCAUCUUUUCACAGAUGUUGGCCAAAUUAUGAACCUCAAACACAAUUGUUUUAAAGAGAAAUGUGAAGAAAAAGAAUAUGAAUGGUAGUUGUAAGAAAAUUAAAAAAUAAAAUCAUUGACUCUUCACUCUACCAAACUAGGGAUGACAACGAGGCGAGUUUGGGAUGGGGCCUCGUUCCGUUUAACUUUUUUUUUUAAUUACUUAAAAUUUUUUUAAUUAUAUUAAAAUAAAUAUAUUUUAUAAAUAAUUAAAUUAUUAUAUUUUUAUAACUUAUUUUAUUAAAAAAUAUUUUUUUUAUUAUUUAUAUAUUAAAAAUAGUAAAAUUAAAAUUAAAAUUAAUUUAAUUUUAAAAAUUAAUUUUAUAUAUAAUAGGGGUGGAGCAAGAUAAGGCAAUAGCUGAAUCUGUCCUGGGUUUUAAAAAGAUUCCCAAACCUGUCCAAAACUCAUUUAGUUAAAAUUGAAACUCAUCCAAUUACGAGCGGGUAUCCGAAAAAACUUGUCCUAUUGUCAUCCCUAUACCCAACCACACUAUCAUCCAAUGAAUAAAACGAAAAUAACUAAAAUUAAGGAACAACCCAAGAAUCAAUGACUUCCUAGCAAGCCCAUCCAUAUCCCAACACGGACAAAAAUAUUUUAAUUUUUUUGCCUUAAAAAUCACGCAUGAAGCUUCCUAGAAAUUUCAUACUUCUUUGUCAUUAUCUAUAUUUUCUACUUCUUUUUCAUCGUCAAUAUUUGUGUAUAUAUAUAAAAUAAAACUUGCAAGAAAAUACAAAAAUGAUAGAUGGCAAAAUGGUUUUUAUGUUAAGAAGGUUCUAAAUUUUUCACACCUUUACAGUAUAAAAAAAAAAAAAAAAAAAAACUUUUUAAAUACAGAACUAUUUCGGACUUGAAUCAUUUUGAAAUUCAGAGACUUGAAAAGUGUUUGUUGGACUUGAAGGAGUUUGGAGUUAAUCUUGAACUUAGAUAUGUUUAGAAAUCAAAGUGGAUUUGAAGAAGAUUGAAAUCCACGACAUGACAACACUGUAAUAUGAAUAGUGUUUUGUCAAAAAAAAUUACUAUUUACUAUUUACUAGGGCAUAAAAGAAAAAUACAAAAUAAUACUCUAAAAAUGCGAAGGAAAGAUUGUUGGUCGUUGAAUAAGGGGAAAAAAAAGAAGAAAAGUAAAAUGUGAAAAAAAAAAGCUUCAAGAGUGCAAUUAAUAAUUGUGGUAGGCCCUGACUUUUGUCUUGUGAACCCGCCUAUUAUUGAAUGGAAAAGGGAUAUAGCCAACCAAAAUAAUUGAGAGUAAAGAAAGGAACACCUCACCACUAUGCUCCAAAUUGAGAGAAAAACAAAGUCAGCCGGCAUCCAAGGACAUUUUUAUUAAAAAAGUAAAGAAAAGAAAUGGUGCUUUAGCUAUUAUCAUAUCAACUCCUAGGAAAUAAAUGAAAAGAACAAGUAAAUGAAAAGAAACAAAAAAAAAAGUUCUUAGAAUGCAAAAAGAAGAUAUUGGAUAUUGAAUGCCCAAAAGAGAAAAAAAUAAAAUGGUAAGAUGUAAAGAAAAGAGUCAGAAAAGCUUCACAAUUGCAAUUAAUAAUUGAGGUACGACUUGGACUUUUGUGAACCCUCACUGUUAAUGCUAAAGGGUUACAGCUAAGGAAAGGAUAAAUGGGAGAGAAGAACAGGACAUCCUCACCACCAUCGUCUUAGCAUCAAAGACCCUCUUUUUUCUUCUUCCAAAUUCUGUUCUUGUAAUUUUGUUACAAUCCAACCAUGGCUUCCUCUAGCAAUUCUAAGAGACCCUUUUGUUCUUCUUCUUCUUCUAAUUCUAAAUGGAGGUACGAUGUGUUCUUGAGUUUCAGAGGCGAGGAUACCCGCAACAACUUUACUAGUCAUCUCUACAAGGAUUUGGAUAAGGCCAACAUUAAAACCUUUAAAGAUGAUGAAGAACUUCGAAAGGGAGGAGAGAUUGCACCCGAGCUCCUAAAAGCUAUUGAAGAAUCAAGGAUCGCCAUUAUCGUCUUCUCGAAAACCUAUGCUCAUUCCAAGUGGUGCUUGGAUGAACUCGUCAAGAUCAUGGAGUGCCAGAAAGAAAAGGGACAAAUAGUUUAUCCCGUUUUCUAUCACGUACGGCCGUGUGAAGUCAGGAACCAGUAUGGGACUUAUGGAGAAGAAUUUAAGAAACACGAGAGCAAUGCGGACGAGGAGAAGAAGAAGAAAAUAGGGGAGUGGAGGACUGCCUUAAGGAAAGCCGGUGAUUUGAGUGGAUUUAGUCUGCGGGAUAGGUAAUCCCUACUUCACUUUUUCCAUUUCCAAUUUUCUGUCAGUUUAUUUUCAUUCUUGUUAGUAAAUAAAAUAUUUAUGAUUACAUAUAUCAAUCAAAAUCCAGUUUUUAAGUAGUAGACAUUAAUAUGUUUGAUUUCUUGGAAAGUAAUAAGAAGAGUUAAAAAUAAAUAAAAAUAAAAAUUUAAAAAAUUUGAUUUUCUUAUAUUUAAUGUAUUAUUAAAAAAUAUGAAAGAAAAUAAAAAUAUAAUUAAAAUACAUUGUAAAAAUAUAUAUAAUUAGUUUAUAAUUAAAAUAAUCUUAGAAAAUCUAUAGUAGUUGUUCUGGGCUCAUUCAGGCCCAACAGGUAAUCCCUAUUUCACUUUUUCCAUUACCAAUUUUCUGUCGGUUUAUUUUCAUUCUUGUUAAUAAAUAAAAUAUUUAUGAUUACAUUUAUCAAUCAAAAUCCAUUUUUAAGUAGUAGACAUUAAUAUGUUUGAUUUCUUGGAAAGUAAUAAGAAAGAGUAAAAAAAAAAAUUGACUUUCUCACAUUUAAUUUAUUAUUAAAAUUAUAAAAGGAAAUCAAAUAUAAUUAAAAUAUAUCGAAAAAAAAAAUAUUUGCCUACAAUUGGGAUAAUAUUAGAAAAUCUAUAGUAGGUGUUGUGGGCUCAUUCAGGCCCAGGUAAUACUGGUAAAAAAAUAAAAUAAAAUAAUUAUGCCAAAUGCCAAGUUUUGAAUUGUUAAAAAUCUUUAAGAUUCCAAAAUAUUCUUCCUUUCUAAUCAAUCCAUCUCAGCCAUAAUUUCUAUCAAUUAAAUUGUUCAAAUUGGUUAUUUAUAUGCUUUGUAAAUUUGGAGAUAAUCUGAGAUGAUUAUUUAAAAUAUUGUAAUACUACCCUAAAUUUUUUUGGACCCUCUUAUGGGACAAAAAACUUAGUUAUUGCACCCUUAACCUUUUUCAAUUUUAGAGGAAUUUUCUAUUACUAAAAUAAUUUUCUCAUGUUCUCUGUGCACUACAUGAGUUUACAUUUCUUCUUUACUUAAUAUUGUUUGUUCCUCUAUAUUUGCAAGUUGAUUAUUAAAUUUAUUUACCUUUUAAUCUAAUGUUUGUAUCUCGUUUUAUUCUAAUUAUCCCAUGACAUCUGGAUAAUCUCUUCUUAAGACCUUGACAUGACAUAAUGAAAUUUUAUUUAAACAUGCAAUUCAACACAUUUUUAAUUUACAUUCUAUUUGACCUUAAUUUAAUUGCACCGAACUAAAGAUCAUUCUAUAAUUUCCAUUUACUUCAUCUUUGUUUUCUUUGACAAUUGAUUGUAGCUUACUCCAUGUUUUAUUGUACUUUAUAAUGGACAGAUCUGAGGCAGAGUUUAUUGAAGAAAUCAUUGGUGAGAUUCGAAGAUUAAUUCCUAAGUGGGUACAUGUUGGUGAGAAUAUUGUUGGAAUGGAUGAAAAUUUGAAAAAAGUGAAGUUAUUGAUAGAUGCCCAAUCAAAUAAAGUGAGUAUGGUUGGGAUUUAUGGGACUGGUGGGAUUGGUAAAACUACCAUCGCCAAGGUUGUUUACAAUGAUAUGUUAGAUCAAUUUAAAUGUCACAGCUUUCUUGAAAAUGUGAGAGAGAAAUAUGAAGAUAAAGGUGAUUUGCUUCAAUUACAAAAAGAACUUCUUUGUGAUAUCCUAAUGGAGAAAAAUCUGGUGUUAAGGAAUAUUGAUGAAGGAUUUAAAAAGAUAAAGAGUAAGCGUCACUCUGAAAAGGUUCUUAUUGUUCUUGAUGAUGUAGGUUGUGAAGAACAAUUAAAAUUCUUAGCUCCUAAUUCUGAAUGUUUUCAUCCAGGAAGCAUAAUCAUUGUGACCACGAGAAAUAAGCGUUGCCUAGAUGUAUAUGACUCGUAUUCAUCAUAUGAGGCUAAGAGAAUGGCAGACAAGCAAGCUGAGGAACUCUUUUGUUGGAAUGCCUUCAAGCAAGACCAUCCCAUAGAAAAUUUUGUGGGCCUCUCUAAUCGUAUACUGGAUUAUGCUGACGGCCUUCCAUUGGCUCUUGUAGUUUUGGGUUCUUUUCUCUUUCAAAGGCCUAUGGAUGAAUGGGAAAGCACAUUGGAUGAACUCAAAACAAUCCCUCCCGAGAAUAUUCAAAAGGUACUCCAGAUAAGUUAUGAUGGACUAAGUGAUGAACGCAAGAAGUUGUUUCUUUAUAUUGCAUGCUUCUUCAAAGAUGAGGAUGAAAAAAUGGCAACAAGAAUACUAGAAAGUUGCAAAUUACAUCCCGCUAUUGGACUAAGAGUUCUUCAUGAGAGGUGUCUUAUUUCUAUAGAGGACAACACUAUAAGGAUGCAUGACUUGUUACAAGAAAUGGGUUGGGCAAUUGUUUGCAAUGAUCCAGAACGUCCAGGAAAAUGGAGCAGAUUGUGCGAAUUACAGGAUAUUGAAAGUGUAUUAUCACAAAAUGAGGUAAGAGAAAAAUACAUGAACAUACUUGAGAUCUAAAGACAUAAAAGAUUCAACAAGAUUUAUUUUUAUUAUUAUUAUAGUUUGAGUAUAUUAUCUAUAUAAUUUUAGUGAAUCCCUAUGCAUCUUAUACUGCUCAUUCUCAAUCCUUGUUUUCAGUGGACAAAAAACAUUGAGGGGAUUUUCACAAGUCAGUCUCGCCAUACAGGAAAACAUAUACAACUUACUACUGAAGUUUUCAGAAAUAUGAAUCAACUUAGAUUGCUCAAAGUCGAAUUCAAUCAGAUCGUGCAGCUUUCCCAAGACUUUGAAUUGCCUUGUCAUGAUUUAGUAUAUUUUCAUUGGGAUUACUACCCUUUAGAAUAUUUGCCAUCAAAUUUUCAUACAGACAAUCUUGUUGAACUCAACCUCUGGUGUAGCCGCAUAAAACAUCUUUGGGAAGGAAAUAUGGUAUUGCUAUUAUUUAGUUAUAUUUUUGUUGUAGACUAAUUUUAAAGUCUUUUGAAGUUUACUUCUUGACACAAAUUUUCUUCUGUUACAGCCUGCUAAAAAGUUAAAAGUCAUUGAUCUUAGUUAUUCCAUGCAUCUGGUUGACAUUUCAAGCAUCUCAAGUAUGCCAAAUUUGGAGACUCUAACUCUAAAAGGUUGUACAAGGUUCCUUAAGUGUUUCAUCCAUGCUAAAUGUUAUUAUCAGUCAUGAACUAAUUGUUUUCUUGAAUAUAAUAGGGUGCACGAGACUUAAGAGUCUUCCAAGGAACUUUCCUAAGUUGGAAUGCCUUCAAACACUCUCUUGUUGUGGCUGUUCAAACUUAGAGAGUUUUCCGAAGAUCGAGGAAGAAAUGAGAAGUCUAAGAAAGCUUAAUUUAAGUCAAACAGGUAUAAUGGGAUUACCAUCAUCAAUUAGCAAGCUAAAUGGGCUUAAAGAGUUGGACUUAAGUAGUUGCAAAAAGCUUUCGAGUCUUCCGGACAGUAUUUAUAGUUUGAGCUCUCUUCAAACUCUCAAUCUAUUUGCAUGUUCACGACUAGUGGGCUUUCCGGGUAUCAAUAUUGGAAGUCUAAAAGCUCUUAAAUACUUGGAUUUGUCAUGGUGUGAGAACCUUGAGAGUCUUCCGAAUAGUAUUGGUAGUUUGAGCUCUCUUCAAACUCUUUUAUUGAUAGGGUGUUCAAAACUGAAGGGCUUUCCAGAUAUCAAUUUUGGAAGUCUAAAAGCUCUUGAAUCGUUAGAUUUCUCAGGUUGCAGAAACCUUGAGAGUCUUCCCGUGAGCAUUUACAAUGUAAGCUCUCUCAAAACUUUGGGGAUUACAAAUUGUCCAAAACUCGAGGAAAUGUUAGAGAUGAAACUAGGGGUUGAUCCAUGCCCCUGGCCAUUUUCACCUCUAACCUGUCACAUUUCAAAUUCAGCAAUAAUCUGGGAUGAUCACUGGCAUGACUGCUUUUCCUCAUUAGAAGCAUUAGACUCACAGUGCCCCCUGUCAUCACUGGUAGAAUUAUCUGUAAGAAAGUUUUAUGACAUGGAAGAAGACAUCCCCAUUGGCAGUUCCCACCUAACCUCAUUGGAAAUAUUAUCUCUGGGGAACGUCCCUACAGUAGUAGAAGGAAUCCUCUAUGACAUUUUCCAUCUAUCUUCAUUGGUAAAAUUAUCUCUUACUAAAUGCAAGCCAACAGAAGAAGGAAUCCCCCGUGAUAUUCAGAACCUAUCUCCACUGCAACAAUUAUCUCUACAUGACUGCAAUCUAAUGAAAGGAACGAUCCUCGAUCAUAUUUGCCAUCUAACAUCCUUGGAAGAAUUAUAUCUGGGUUGGAACCAUUUUAGUAGCAUUCCUGCUGGCAUCAGUCGACUUUCCAAUCUAAAAGCCCUUGACUUGAGUCACUGCAAGAAGCUUCAACAAAUUCCAGAGCUUCCAUCUAGUCUACGAUUUUUAGAUGCGCACUGUCCGGAUCGUAUUUCAUCAAGCCCCUUGCUUCUACCUAUUCAUUCUAUGGUCAAUUGCUUCAAAUCAAAAAUUGAGGUAUGAUUCUCAUGCCACGUUCCUUUUUCUUUUGUACCCAUUGGAUUUACAUGGUGCUUUCGUGCAGGGGCGCAAGGUUAUUAAUAGGUAUUCUUCCUUCUAUGGCAAUGGGAUUGGUAUUGUUAUUCCUAGUAGUGGAAUUCUAGAGUGGAUAACGUAUCGGAAUAUGGGAAGGCAAGUAACAAUAGAGCUCCCUCCGAAUUGGUAUAAAAAUGAUGACUUGUGGGGAUUUGCUUUAUGCUGUGUUUAUGUUGCACCUGCCUGUAAAUCUGAGGAUGAAUCUCAGUAUGAAUCAGGUCUUAUAUCUGAGGAUGACAGUGACCUUAAAGAUGAAGAAGCAAGCUUUUAUUGUGAAUUGACAAUCGAAGGAAAUAAUCAAUCAGAAGACGUGGGUCAUUUCUUUCUUCAUUCUCGCUGUAUUAAGGAUGAUGUAUCAGAUAUGCAGUGGGUGAUAUGUUAUCCCAAGUUAGCUAUUGAGAAAAGUUAUCACACCAAUCAAUGGACACACUUCAAGGCUUCAUUUGGUGGUGCCCAAGUGGAAGAGUGCGGAAUCCGUCUUGUAUACAGAAAAGAUUAUGAACAGAAGCAUCCAAGAAUGGCACAAGGCAGUACUUCUCAUGGGAAUUUUGGUGAGCAUGGAUCAGUAAGAGAAGAUACUGAUAGUAAAGCUCACAAUAAAAGGAAUCCCACAGAACAGAGCCCAGGAGAGGAGUCACACCAUAAAAGAUCCAGAGAAACCCAAGACUGAUCUCAAGUAUUAGGCUCAACCACACUUGCAUCACUAAUGCUCUCUUUACUGGUAAUUCAUCUUCCUUUCUCUUUCUAAUUCAAAGGUCAGAAUUUUUUUUUUAUCGUGUUUCUCCUUUUUAUUUGUUUUUUUUUUCCCCAAGACAAACAAAACUUUGAGGCUAUCACCCAUGGGCGCAAACUUCAAUGGUACACCUCCCAAGUUUGUUUUUCUCUCUCUCCAACCGUCUCUCCCUAGAUUUUUCUGCAUUUUCUUCAAACUCAUAUUUCCAUAUGAAAUUCAAUUACAUUCGAGCAUUUCAAUCUCUGUAGCUACUGUCUGAAUCAAUUAUAGGGUUUCUUUUUUCUGGAAGUUUGUAAUGUUAUUGAUUUAAGACUUCAUGUUUGGGGAUGUUUUGGGUGGCUUGUUCACUGGUAUUACUUGUGAUAAUUGCAGCUCUGGUGCUUUCAAUGACUGACAAUAGUUGAAACUAUGUUGAAUGCUUGUACUAAGGGAAUGGACUUCAGCUGCUCCAGGGUUAGUGCUAUAACAUCAGUAUUCACUCUUCAAGAAUGUAUAUAGUUGUUGUUUUGGAAUUUUGAAAUUACUUAGCAUCAGACAAUUUCUAACUCGGGAUUUGGAUUGGGAACCAUAAGUUAUCUCACCCUAGUGUUCUUUGGAAUAAUUAUAGGAUUUUGUAAGUAACUUUGGACUUGUUAGCAAUGUUCUGGAUUUGUGAAUAAUUUAUAGAAUACAUUGGGUGUUUUUUUUUUUUGGUCCAUCAAAAACUUCAAGAACUUUGAGGGUGAAUAAUGUAUGACUGUACUCUUCUCUAUCUCUGUGGUCAUAGCACACGUAUGAUUUGGUGCUUUUUUGCAGGCCUUCAACAGCAGCAAAGCAUCUGGUGGCUUGCAGUACUAAUCUUGCAUUAUAUUCUCUGUUUUGCAAUCAUUUGGUACUUUUUGUCCCAACCAAGGAUAGCUCUGUGCAAGCAGUCUCGACUGUGGAACAAGUAAAACAAAUGGUACCUGCUGAAGCUGAGAGUGCAGAUGAUAAACUGGUGCGGAAGGUGGUCAACCAAAAGAAUCAGACAGCAAAAACUAAAAAGCCCAUGAAGCCUGCUACUGAAGCAGUCUCAGCACCUGUUUCUAGGAGGGGUGAGAUUGAAGUGACUGAAGAAAAGGAGCAUCAGCAAACAAAGAAGGAAGAGGAGUUGGCCAGGAAGGUAGAGGAAUUGAGAAGUGAAGAAGAAGCAGCCAUGUUGAAGGAGCAAAGUCUGUUGGAGGAGAGAAAGCCAACGUUAAGGAGGCACUGGAAAGGCAACAAGGAACUGCAGAAAAGGCCAAUUUCUCUGUGAGUGCUGCCACCUUUUCAUGAUACAGCCAUCAUAAUGGAUGUUAAAAGCAGUCUAACUCUACAUACUUCCUUGCAUUAUACUAGUCAUUGAUGGGCUUAAAUUUUAAUUUAAAUGUAGUAUAAAUAUAUAAGUAGAUUGAUUGGGUCUGAAUUUGAACCUGGUUCGAGUCAUACUCCCAUCCAAUCCAAACUUGUGAUUGGGCUUGAAUUUCUUGGCCCAACCAGCGAAAUCAUUGACCAACGGCCCUUAGUUUGGGCUGGGCUUGAUGGUCCUCAGGUUAUGUAGGCUUAAUACUGAUUGGGUUUGGGCUUCCAUGCAGUUGUACUUGGAUUCUAUGUUUCCUAAUAUUAACACUAAAUUAGGUUUAAUUUAUAAUUAAAUAUAAUUAGUUUGAGACUAACUCCAAUCUUUAGUUAAACCAACUAAGUUUUAUGCAAAGGUUUAUAUUCCUAAUACCAUCAGGUAUUAUAGUAAAUACCAUUGAAAAACUAAAUUCAUGUGGAAGUUUCACUAGGUGAUACGACAUUAAAUUAUUAAGAUAAAAUUAAAAAAAGAUCAUGCUCGUAUGUCCCGUUGUUUGUCAUAAGAGAAUUUCUUUCUAGAUUUUUUUUUUUUUGCUCUUUUCAAUUCUAGAUAUUUUAAUAUAUCUUUACUUUUUCAAAAACAAUCCAUAGGAUUGUUCCCAAACAUAUAUCAUAUAAAUAUAUAUUUUUAAGAUUGAUUUUUAAGAAUGUUAUCAAAUAAACUCAUAAUAGCAUUUUUUUCUUUACAAUUACCAAUUCGUAUGAUGAAUUAAUUACUUUCAAUAACCGACAUCAUCUAAUCAAAAUUAUAAUUAAGUAUCAUAUUAAAAGAGUGUUUAAAAAAUCAAAUUUAAUAACUUAAAGUGAUUUAAUAAUUUAAUUUAAAUUAUUAAAAUAACUUGAUGUCACAAUUUAAAGUUAGAAAUGACUUAAUUUAUUUUUAUUUAAAUUUAAAACUAAGUUUACAAAAAAGGUUUAAAAUUCAUAUCAAUUAAGAAAUUAAGUCAUUAAGUUACUUUAAGCCAUUAAAUUGAUCUACCAAUUAAACACCCUUGAAGAUAUUACAUAAAGUUCACCUUCUACAUAUCAUGAAAAUUUAAAAUUAAUUACAACAUCAAGAAUCUUUAGUUCCUAAUCGAUAUCAUAUUUAAUCCUUGGUUGUAAAUUUCUUUACAUAUGUAGAUAUAUUUUUAUAUUGCAAGUGGGUUGCCGACUUUUCAUUUUAUACUAGUUUUGAAAUUAAGAUUGUAGUUUUUAUUUUGUCCAAAUCUAAUUUGGAGGGAGAAUCUUUAGAGGCUAUUUUAUAUUCAAAUAGGAAAAUUUUAAAUUUAAUAGUCCCACCUUAUAAAGGCAAAUAUCUUGGACCCUACAUGGGUGCCUCUUACAUGCAAAAGGACAAAGACUUAUUGAAAGCCUCUCUCAUUCACAUGGAUGCCAUCAUUCAUCAAAGUUGAAACAUGAAACCCACACAAAAGCAAUUUCAAUAUUUUUUUUCAUAACUAUAGCUGAGAAUCUCAAUAUUAUUAAAUAGUGACAAAAUUAAUUUCAAUAUUUUUUUUUCUUAUUUUUUGCUCCUUGUGGUUAUAUUUUCAUCUGGAAAGUAUUAAAUAUAUUAAAAAAGAAAAAAAUUAUAAAAAAAUUUUUUUCCUAGUUAAUUAUACUAUGAAAAAUAUAGAGUAAAAUAAAAUAUAAUUAAAAUUAGUUAAAAAAUUAUAUUUUUAUAAAAUUAUUUGACUUUUUUAUAAAAAUUUAAAAUAAGUGACAUGAGUUUGAAAUAGUAUAUAUAUUGACUUUAAUUCUUUCAAAUUAAUCACUAGGUUGUUAGAGACAUACACCUAUGAUCCAAAGGUUUUCCCAACAAAGAUAUCAAUAAAUCUUUCUACUCCAUUGAUUGCAUCUUGAAUUCUUUCAAAUUAAUCACUUCAUUGUAAUCAUUAUUCACUUCAUUGUGAUUUGUCAGACAACAAUUCAUUUCUGCUUCAUGGUUGGACCUUGAGGUAAGGCUUUAGAGGCAUAAGCCUCAAAAGCCUCUUAAAAUUGGUUCUACACUUCUUGCAUGAUGAAUGCAAGUUCCAAAUUUUGAUGACUUGGUAAUGUUGGAGUAAUUGGGUUGAAAGCAGUCAAACACAAAUAUUUAUUAAAGAAGAUAAAAAUUUGGAAGAAUUAAAAUUUUAUUGUAUUCUACCACUCUUUUUUUUAUUCAAAUAUUACAUAAUCCUUUAUUAACUAAAAAUGACAUAAUUAAAAGUAAAUUAUCAUUUGAUUGCAAUGGAUUUAAUAGAAUAUGGUGGAUAUGCUAAAUUUUUGUCUGAUAAUAAAAUUUGAUUUGAGUGAAUAUAAUUAGAGUAAAAUAGUCUUUUUAACUAUCACUUUUACAAUAAAAAGUGUUUUAUUUAAACAAAUAUUUAAUAAAAUUUUAAAAACAUUUGAUAAAUAAUUAUUAUAAAAACUCUUCCUCGAAAAUACUUCAAAGUUCGUCGGAUGGUAAAUUAUACAUCAAGAUCUUAAUGAUGGUCCAUGCAACCAUCACCAUUGAUUGUUUUUGAAAACACAACUUCAAUUUAAAUAAUAUUUUAAGGUAACUCCUAGUUAUCAUAUUUUACAAGAUAUUUUUUAAAAUUAUUGUUUUUUUUCUUUCAAAAUCCUAAGAGAGAGGUCACCAAUAUCAAAAUAAUGUGACCCAUCUCUAUACUAUUGUCUCCAUUAUUUGGACUAUAUCAUAGUUUCCUUAUUGACAACAUGGUAGCCAUGUUAAAUACCUACAACUUUGAAAACAAGAUCUCAAAACUAUGCCUAUUUGAUUAUAAGGCUUAAUUAUUAUAGUUUAUCAUUUCCUAGCAUAUAUAGUUCUUAGCAUCUAAGUAUUUGUUAUAUAAGAAUUUUUCUCAUUUUUCAAGCUUGCAUUUUGUUUAGAAAUUUUUUGAGUUUUUUACAAUCAUUUUGAAAAUGUCAACUCAUAAUUAUAUACAUUUUAGUUCUAUAAGGACUAAAAUCACUUAACAUCAUGGUAAUACUAUUUAAGGUAAUUUGCUUUGAAUCAGAAUGAACUUAUAUACAACUUACGAUUUAUGGUAAUAAUAGAGAUCGAAUUUAAAAAUACAUAAGUUUUCAAUUAAAUAUUAAUAUAUUUAUGUUUCCUUCUUAUUUUUAAUCCUAAAACACAUUAAAUGUAUGCUCUUGAAUUCCUCCAUGUAAUGCGAUUUGAUAUAAUGAUAAAUCAACAAUUAUGAUUUAAUAAUAUGGUGCUUUGACUUUUGACAUUUAAGUAACACCGUCAAUAAAAGCUCCAUAUCUUUGCUUCAUGGAAGAACGUACAAAUGAUGUGAUUGAAUUACAUUUCAAUUAUGUUUGAUUCUUUGAAAAUACUCAAGAAAAAUAAAUAUUUAAAAAAAUAAUUUUCUCAUAUUUGAUUUUACUAUAAAAAAAAUACAUAAUUAAAAUUAGUAAUAAAUUUAAAUAAUUUUAAAUUACUUAAUCUUUAUAUAAAAAAGUUAAAUUAGUAAAACGAGUUUAAAACAUGAUAUAAAGGUAAUUUAUUGACUUUAAUUUUUUUUUUUUACUUCACUUUUUCUUUCCUUCUCUUUGAUGAGAUCAUCUUAGAUAAAUUGUUAAUUGAUUGCAGCAUAUUCAAUUGAAUUCGAUAGUCUAGGUAUCAUAAAUCAUACAUGUUGUGCACCAUUUACAGUAAAUGAACCGUCACAAACCAUACAUAGAGGAGAUGUUGAUUUCAUUAUAAAUCAUACGAUAAUUACAAAAGAUAUGAUAUUAACUUGCAGUAAAUUGCAACAUCGGCACUCUAAUGCUAGACAAAGUAACUAGACAAAGUAAGUCUAAUUAUUGCUAACUUUCCUCAUCUUUCUUGGGCCUUUUGGGUGCUUUUUGUGCAAAAGAGAAAAAGCUAUAACUAAAUUGCCAAUCCAUCACCGACGUUAUAGACUGAUGAAGAAUACCAAAGGGAGUGUUACGAAAUAAUGAGAAUAAAUAAUAAGAAAAAUAGAAUAAGAACACAUAGAUAUACGUGAAAAACUUUAGAUGGGAAAAAUCAUGAGAAAACGAGAAAAAGAUCCGUUAUGUCAAAAAUUGGUACAAAAUGGGAGAGUUGAAAGCGACUACAACAAAAGUAUAAUCAUCGUAACCCUAAAACUAUACAUCAUUAUUAUAUAUAUAUAUAUAUGUAUAUAUAUAUAUAUGCGAGAGUUGAGAACAACUAUGGGAUGAGGUCUAUCGACUCGAUCCCUUCACUACCCCCACAAAUCUCUCAAAAAAUCUCAUAAUUUUAACUUUACUACAUAUAUUGCAUCGCGAGCUUUUCGAAUUGAAUAAAAAAGAAUUUGGAAUCAUCAAACAGUAACAAAGGGAGUGAGAUCAUAACUUUGGAAGGAUUUUUUUUUUUUUUAAAUGUAGACUUGAAUGGUAAAUACUAAAAUGUGUUUGAGAGUGAUACUUGAAAGUAUUUUUAAUAUUUUUAAUAUUCGAAAAAUAAAAAAUUUUCAAAUAUUAAAAAUAUUUCCUAAAAUCAAUAUCAAAAACCAUUUUACAAAAUCAGUAUCAAACUAUCAAACAUAAUUUGAAUUUAAAUAGAGACAAGAACAACAUUGACUCUUGACUCACCAAACCAGUCCUAGUUCACUUAUUGAAUGAAAAGAAAAUAAUUAAAAAUAAAUAACAGCAUCCAUUCUACCAUGUUAUGAAGAGUAAAAGACAAUGGAGAUUUUAACUUUGUUGCCUUAAAAGUCAUGCCCCCUUUCAUGAGUAUAUAUAAUAAAAUAUAUUCGUUUGCAUCUCUUGAAUGCAAAUAAUUUGAUAAUUUUUUUAUAAUUAAUUUAUGAAGAUAACAAUUUGAUAAUUAGACAAUUAUGUUGAUAUUUUGACAUUAUUAUCAAUUUACCAAAUAAGAUUGUUUUUCACCCAACAAUAAUUUACUUAGAAUAAUAAAUAAAUUAAAUUAGCUAACGUAACCAAAGCAUUUGAUUAAAAAUUGGUUUUCAUUUACAAAGAUAAGUUGAAAAUUAAUUUUAAUUUGAUUUAAUUAGGAAAUUAAUUUUUUGCUUGUUAAGUUUGUUUUAAUUUGUAAAUUCAUGUAAAUAAAAAAAAGGAUAAAAAGAUAAUUUUCAUGUGAAAAUUCAUUUAAUUUGAAAAUAAAUGAUGUAAUGUGUUUCAUUGUCGGUUAGCAUUUUUCUUUUUUUCUUGUUUGUAUAACUUUUUAAAAUGUAAAAGAUAAUAAUAAAAUAAGAAAUAAUCAAUAAAUUAAAAAAAUAAAAUAAAUGAUCUCACUAAAAAUGUUUUUUUACCUUAUGUCAUAUGACUUGGAUUAUUUUUUUUCUCUUUUCAGUAAAACAAACUUUUAAUAUAAAUAAAAAAAUAAAAUAGGACAUAGAGGAAAAUAGCUAAAGAGUAUAAAAAAAAUUCAAAAUAAUGCACUAAAAAUGGAAAGAGAAUAUGGUGAGUAGUUGAAUAAUAAUAAAUAAAAAAAAGUCAAAAAAGCUUCAAUACUCUUUGAAUCCACUGUUAGUGAAUGCCAAAAGGCAUACAUCAUACACGCAACUAGAAAUAAAAUGGUAAAAUAUAAAGAAAAGAGUCAGAAAAAGCACGAAGACUACAAUUAAUAAUCGUGGCAGGACUUCGACUCUCGUGAACCCCCCACUGUCACUCAAUGCUAUAGGGUUACAGGCUUGGAGCCAAUCAAAGAUAAUUGAGACAGAAGAACCAGACAUCCUCAACACCAUCGUCUCAGACUCUCAGCAUUCAAAGACCCCUUUGUAUUUUCUUCUUCCAAAUUCUGUUCUUGUAAUUUUGUUACAAUCCAACCAUGGCUUCCACUAGCAAUCCCAAGAGACCCUCUUCUUCUUCUAAUUCUAAAUGGAGGUACGAUGUGGUCUUGAGUUUCAGAGGCGAGGAUACCCGCAACAACUUUACUAGUCAUCUCUACAAGGCUUUGGAUCAUGCCAACAUUGAAACCUUUAUAGAUGAUGAAGGACUUCCAAGGGGAGAAGAGAUUGCGCCCGAGCUCCUAAAAGCUAUUGAAGGAUCAAGGAUUGCCCUUAUUGUCUUCUCGAAAACCUAUGCUCAUUCCAAGUGGUGCUUGGAUGAACUCGUCAAGAUCAUGGAGUGCGAGAAAGAAAAGGGACAACAGGUUUUUCCUAUUUUCUAUCAUGUAGAGCCGUCUGAAGUCAGGAACCAGACUGGGAUUUAUGGAGAAGCAUUUAACAAUCACGAAAGAAAUGCAGACGAGGAGAAGAAGAAGAAGAAGAUAGAGCAGUGGCGGACUGCCUUAAGGAAAGCUGGUAAUUUGAGUGGAUUUCCU
rnacentral:lncRNA from 1 species